UGCGAGUCGAACGAUGAAGCUGGAGCUUGCUCCGGCCGAUUAGUGGCGAACGGGUGAGUAACACGUGAGCAAUCUGCCCUUGACUCUGGGAUAACUGCGGGAAACUGUAGCUAAUACCGGAUACUUUCCUCGCUGGGCAUCCAGCGGGGAAGAAAGAAUUUCGGUCAAGGAUGAGCUCGCGGCCUAUCAGCUAGUUGGUGAGGUAAAGGCUCACCAAGGCGACGACGGGUAGCCGGCCUGAGAGGGUGACCGGCCACACUGGAACUGAGACACGGUCCAGACUCCUACGGGAGGCAGCAGUGGGGAAUAUUGCACAAUGGGCGAAAGCCUGAUGCAGCAACGCCGCGUGAGGGAUGAAGGCCUUCGGGUUGUAAACCUCUUUUAGCAGGGAAGAAGCGAAAGUGACGGUACCUGCAGAAAAAGCACCGGCUAACUACGUGCCAGCAGCCGCGGUAAUACGUAGGGUGCAAGCGUUGUCCGGAAUUAUUGGGCGUAAAGAGCUCGUAGGCGGUUUGUCACGUCUGCUGUGAAAAUCCGAGGCUCAACCUCGGACUUGCAGUGGGUACGGGCAGGCUAGAGUGCGGUAGGGGAGAAGGGAAUUCCUGGUGUAGCGGUGGAAUGCGCAGAUAUCAGGAGGAACACCAAUGGCGAAGGCACUUCUCUGGGCCGUAACUGACGCUGAGGAGCGAAAGCGUGGGGAGCGAACAGGAUUAGAUACCCUGGUAGUCCACGCCGUAAACGGUGGGUGCUAGCUGUGGGCCACAUUCCACGUGGUCCGUGACGA
rnacentral:rRNA from 1 species